rnacentral:misc_RNA from 1 species
CGACACAUAGCAGUUUAAUUUUGUCCAUAUGCUGAAAUUAGAGAGAAAAAAUAAAAUAAAAUAAAAAGUAGAGUCGGUUGGGGAGCUUUUCACGUGGCAACAGCUGUAAUGUAAGUCGUAGUUGCAGGUGCCUAUGUGCUUCGAGAAAAGAGUCUUUUUCUCUUUUGUAUUUAUUUCUAGUCGUUAGCGAGUUGAUUGAUAAUUUUAUUUCUGAGUAUUUCCAUGUUAAAAAAGGGCAGGUUAAAAGUUAAAGGAGGAGUGGUGUGUUUUAGAAACAAAAGCCAGAUGGGGUGGGUGGUGUUGAAUGAUGGCCUAUUUGCUGAAACAAAACCUAUGUUCCCCACUUGCUCCUUUUUCAAAGUGGAUUUCUGACGGUGUGUUGCACCAUCUGAUGAGUUGUCGACUUCAGGAGCCCAAAAGCUUGUUUUACUGGUUGUAAUUAUCUCUCUCACUCUCUUUAAAAUUCAAGUGUUGGUCUAGGCAGCGAAUGCUGGGUAGGUAUUUGAAUAAUGCAAUUAUGCAAACAAAAGUGCAGUACAUGAGUGGGCUCUUAAGCGUGCA